rfam:Triticum aestivum genome assembly, contig: Triticum_aestivum_CS42_TGACv1_scaffold_063018_1DL
AAUGUAGUUCCUCCGUCCCAAAAUUCUUGUCUUAGAUUUGUCUAGAUACAGAUGUAUCAAGUCAUGUUUUAGUACUUGAUACAUCCGAAUUUAUACAAAUCUACGACAAGAAUUUUGGAACGGAGGGAAUACAAC